rnacentral:lncRNA from 1 species
CCGUGGGGGUUUAUUUCCUGGGUUUUCCCCAAAUUUGCCCUAAACUAGGACAAAUAUUUUGGCGCCCAACUCGGGGCUCGAGAGAGUGGAAAAAACCCUGUUGUAAUCAUAUUUUUGUUCCAAUUAUUUUGUGUGGGUAUGGAGCAGUUACUGGUUAUGUUGUUUGAAUUAAUAUUGUCUCUUGGGGUGAAGGCCUGCAUGUGUCUCUGGUCCCUAGGGGUUUUUCAGAUCUUAAUCCCCCUGUGGUCCCUAGGUUUAUUUUUUUAUCCAGGAAUAGCUCCGGUAUUGUCCCUAAUACGUAGGUUUUGCAGUAGAAGGGCACUGACCAGAAUAUCCAUUGUGCUGUGCUUGGGUGUAAUAGCUUCCAGAGGGUUUAUAAAGGUGCUGAGGUCUGUUCCUGGAAUGUAUGGUUCAUGGUUAUGGUUGUACAGCCAGUUUGUUAGAGGGGAAGUAGGGGAUGAGGCUUUUCAGCCUUUGCUUUCCUUCUUCUCCUCUGAAUUUGUUACCUCCCUAUUAGAGAAUGUUCAGUUUCCCCUGACUGUUAAGGAGACCAUCUUCCUGGUGUUUAAUCUGGUAAGCUUUCUCUAUACAGUCUGCAGUCUCUCUAGAAUGAGGGCUGAGAUUUCUAGAGGGGCUGAUGAGACCUCUGACCCAGGAGUAGACCCAGGUGUGAGAAAUCCUGAGUGGUGUGGGAAAUGGGAGGAGAUGGGCCAAAUUUUAAAGGAAUUUUCUGACCCUAUAGCCUGGGACUUUCCAAGUGAAAAAAUUCAGAAUCCGGCUGAGGUGGCGAAGUACCUGAAAGAGAAGUGCCAUGAUAACUCUAAGGAGAAAAAAAUCAUUGCAGUGAGCUGGGCCCUGGCAUAUGCUUAUCGCACCCUGUUAGAUACUGUAGGGCAGCAGACAGAGGAAGGGGGGCAGGGAGAUAAAUCAGCAGCUAUCCCAGUCACUCAGGCUGCAGCCAACACCCCCGGCUCAAAGCCAGCAGCUAAACCAGACUCAGCAGCCAAGCCUCAACCAAUGGCUGUUGCUACUAGCACAAGAAGUGGGAAGCGCACAGAAAAGACCAAUCGACCAGUGGAUGAUGACGAUGAUGAUGAUAAUGCAGGAGAGGGACCCUCAAUGCCUGCUGACAUAAAAUCAGAAGUCAAAGCAACUGGUACAAGAUCAGAGGCCAAUACUGAGUCCUUUUCCCUAAAGGACCUUCGUGGCCUGAGGAAGGAUUAUACCCGACGACCUGAUGAGUCUGUAAUUAGUUGGUUGGUCCGUCUUUGGGAUGCUGCAGGCGAGGCUACAAUUCUGGAUGGUACUGAGGCAAGACAUUUGGGAUCCCUGUCACAUGAUCCUGUUAUUGAUCAAGGAAUGAUGAGGGGGGCUAACCCUCACAGCCUCUGGGCACGAGUUCUGGAAAGUGUAGCACAAAGAUACCUGUGUGCAGAUGAUCUUUAUAUGCAGCAAACCCAGUGGAAGACUAUAGAACAAGGGAUCCAACGUCUGAGAGAAAUGGCAGUGGCAGAGAUUAUCUUCUCAGAUGAAAUAACAACUAGGAAUCCAGACUUGGUACCAUGUACAUCUGUGAUGUGGCGAAAACUUGUACGGCUUGGGCCACAUGACUACGCUUCUGCCUUAGCAAUAAUGAAGCAAGAUGAGAGGGAUGAGACCGUGCUCGAAAUGGCAAGGAAACUCCGAGCAUAUGCAGAUGCUGUACAUGGCCCAACCCAUGCCAGAAUUGCAGCAGUGGAAACACGUCUGCAGAAAUUAGAAGAUAAGAUAGAGGAGAAUCAUAAGAGACUCAGGGAGGAGAUAAAGGAGGACCUUCUCCAAAUCUCAGCAGUACAGAUCAGAGGUUCUGGUAUCCAACGUAGACGUUCCUCAGAUGGUGAGAGAAGGUACACACCACGAACUGAGCUGUGGUUCUUCCUGCGCGAUUGCGG